CUCAACCGUGGCGAGCGUCUGGUGCUUGUGCGGCAUGUCCUCACCGCAAUGCCCACCCACACCCUCAUGGCCAUGGCCGUUUCAGCACCAAUCUUGAAGAGGAUUACGCGCAUCAUCCGGGACUUCCUCUGGCAGGGCUGCAAAGACACGCGGGACGGCUGUUGUCUUGUGAGUUUGGCCAAGGUCUGUUGUCUCGUCGAGCUUGGUGGCCUAGGCGUGCGGGACUUACACCGUGCCGGCAUUGCACUGCGCACCAGGUGGAUGUGGCUACAUGCCACAGACCCCGAGCGCCCCUGGCACCACUUGCAUUUACCACAUGGCCCCGAGGUUUAG
rnacentral:rRNA from 1 species